rnacentral:lncRNA from 1 species
GGAAAUCUGAGCAUGCCAGGUAAAGGAAACAUGGGUUGGUAGGAAAGCUCAAUGAGCCAUGGUCCUCCUGCCACUCAAAGUCUAUCUCUGAUGCUAACCACAUUGCUGUGAUCCACUUUCCAGUUUACUAUGCUCCCAAGGAGCAGGGAAUAAUAAAUCCUCCUUAGGGCUCUGUGUCUCCCUCCAAUUCCUGUAUCUCCUGUUGCAGAGGGAUACAAAUGAAAGAUCUCCCACUCUGGGCCCAUGUUCUCAGCCUGAAAAAACCACAAGCCACAGGAAGUAAUGUGGUUCAAGCGUACCGGUACAGAAAGAUUAAACAACAGGCAUUGAGCCCUACAGGAGUCUGUGAGCAAGAAGAGCCUCAGUUGUCAGGAAAGGAAGAAGCCAGGGGAGCACUGCAAUGGAUUUUCUAGCACAGGUAAACUUUAAGAGGGAGUUGACCUACCCCAUCUGCCUGGAGCUUCUGACAGAGCCCCUGAGCCUGGACUGUGGCCACACCUUCUGCUGAGAUUGCAUCACUGCAAAGAACAGGGACUCACCAAGGAGGGGAGAGCAACUGUCCUGUGUGCCAGUGCAAAUAUCAGCUUCAGAAUCUCUGACCUAACCACCCUCUGGCCGGCAAUGUGGAGAGAGUCAGGGAAAAUAGGAGCCCACAGAAGAAAAAGUUCUGUGAGAAUCAUGGAAAAACACUCUGUGUCUUCUGUAAGGAGCAUGGGAAGGCUGGUUGCCAGCACACUGCAGUGUCUCAGGAGUAUCACGGUCAUCAUGUAUUCCUCACAGAGAAGGUGGUCAAGGAAUGUCAGGAGAAACUCCAGGCAACUCUGAAGAAGCUGAGGAAGGAGCAGCAGAAAGUAGAAGAGCUUGAAGUUGACAUCAGAGAGGAGAGAGAUUCCUGGAGGCAGGAAAAUAUUUCCUGAGGGAGUUCUGAGGCAGGAAACAAGGCAGCAUCUUAGUCCAGUCACAAGGAGGCCCCUUUCUCUUGGUUACCUCACAAUUAAUGAGUUCAGAAGAUAUUUGAUUAGUCCUCAUUUCAUUCCUUCCUCAUUUCAUUUCAGUCCUCAUUUCAUUCCUCCUUUCAUUCAUUCAGUCCUUGGAAUUGGGUUCCAGAGGGUAGACAUAUCACAAAUAAAACCAAAUAUUUGGAGGUGAAGGCAUAGGAGAAAGCCAUGUAAAAAUGACUAAUGAAUCUCAUGUUCCAUAUCCAUCAUCAAGUUUGAGGCACUAAUACUUCCAGAAAACAUACUGAGAAAAGCCCAGUGUUUCCUAUUUAGGUGGUGUGGGUGGAAGGUCUUACUAUACAGUGUGGCAUGAUUAUCCAGGACAGAUAUCUGCAAGCCAAGCCUCAUCUAGGUGUCAUAUUGUGUCUGAGGGUGGGCCCUGCUAAAGUAGACUUUAAUAUAUUCCUUUGGAAGAAACC